UACGUAGGAGGCAAGCGUUGUCCGGAAUUAUUGGGCGUAAAGAGCUCGUAGGCGGUCUGUCGCGUCGGCUGUGAAAACCUGGGGCUCAACUCCGGGCCUGCAGCCGAUACGGGCAGACUAGAAUUCGGUAGGGGAGACUGGAAUUCCUGGUGUAGCGGUGAAAUGCGCAGAUAUCAGGAGGAACACCGGUGGCGAAGGCGGUUCUCUGGGCAUGUCCUGACGCUGAGGAGCGAAAGUGUGGGGAGCGAACAGG
rnacentral:rRNA from 1 species